rnacentral:rRNA from 1 species
GACGUAGGGCGCGAGCGUUGUCCGGAUUUAUUGGGCGUAAAGGGCGCGCAGGCGGCUCAUUUUGUCAGGCGUGAAAGCCCCGGGCUUAACCUGGGAACUGCGUUUGAUACGGAUGGGCUAGAGUUCGGGAGAGGAGAGUGGAAUUCCCAGUGUAGAGGUGAAAUUCGUAGAUAUUGGGAAGAACACCGGUGGCGAAGGCGGCUCUCUGGACCGAGACUGACGCUGAGGCGCGAAAGCGUGGGGAGCAAACAGG